GACGUAGGGGGCAAGCGUUGUUCGGAAUUACUGGGUGUAAAGGGUUCGUAGGCGGUGCGGCAAGUUGGGAGUGAAAUCUCUGGGCUUAACCCAGAGGCUGCUUCCAAAACUGCUGGGCUUGAGUGUGGGAGAGGCGCGUGGAAUUGCAGGUGUAGCGGUGAAAUGCGUAGAUAUCUGCAGGAACACCCGUGGCGAAAGCGGCGCGCUGGACCACUACUGACGCUGAGGAACGAAAGCUAGGGGAGCAAACAGG
rnacentral:rRNA from 1 species